AGUGAACGCUGGCGGUAGGCCUAACACAUGCAAGUCGAACGGCAGCACAGUAAGAGCUUGCUCUUACGGGUGGCGAGUGGCGGACGGGUGAGGAAUACAUCGGAAUCUACUUUUUCGUGGGGGAUAACGUAGGGAAACUUACGCUAAUACCGCAUACGACCUACGGGUGAAAGCAGGGGAUCUUCGGACCUUGCGCGAUUGAAUGAGCCGAUGUCGGAUUAGCUAGUUCGCGGGGUAAAGGCCCACCAAGGCGACGAUCCGUAGCUGGUCUGAGAGGAUGAUCAGCCACACUGGAACUGAGACACGGUCCAGACUCCUACGGGAGGCAGCAGUGGGGAAUAUUGGACAAUAGGCGCAAGCCUGAUCCAGCCAUACCGCGUGGGUGAAGAAGGCCUUCGGGUUGUAAAGCCCUUUUGUUGGGAAAGAAAAGCAGCAGGUUAAUACCCCGCUGUUCUGACGGUACCCAAAGAAUAAGCACCGGCUAACUUCGUG
rnacentral:rRNA from 1 species